UUGCAAAUGCUGGGUUCGUGCGAAAUCUGGACAUUGUAGACAUGCUCCCUCCACGAUUGUCUACGAACUCCAGAUUUUGUACAAACUGGAAGAUUCGCACAAACCCAUGGUUCGUAAGAAUUUUUGUGAUCUAGACAUUAGCUCUCUUUCCGUAAA